rnacentral:rRNA from 1 species
ACUUACUCGCAAUCCGCCAGGGAACUACAAGCACUAGCUUGAAACCCAAAGGACUUGGCGGUGCUUUAGACCCCCCUAGAGGAGCCUGUUCUAGAACUGAUAACCCCCGUUCAACCUCACCCUGCUUUGUCAUUCCCGCCUAUAUACCGCCGUCGUCAGCUUACCUUGUGAGAGACUAUAAGUGAGCAAGAUUGGUACAACCCAAAACGUCAGGUCGAGGUGUAGUAAAUAGCAGGGGAAGAAAUGGGCUACAUUUAUCUGCCGAUAAACACGGAUCAUUUAUUGAAAAAUAAAGCUGAAGGAGGAUUUAGCAGUAAGAAGAAAAUAGAGAGUUCUUCUGAAACAGGCUCUGAAGCGCGCACACACCGCCCGUCACUCUCCCCUAAUGUCUCAUAAAAUUAAGUAAAACACCUGAAAAAUUAAGGGGAGGCAAGUCGUAACAUGGUAAGUGUACCGGAAGGUGUACUUGGAAUAC